UACGUAGGGUGCAAGCGUUAAUCGGAAUUACUGGGCGUAAAGCGUGCGCAGGCGGUUUUGUAAGUUUGUCGUGAAAUCCCCGGGCUCAACCUGGGAAUGGCGAUGAAGACUGCAAGGCUAGAAUCUGGCAGAGGGGGGUAGAAUUCCACGUGUGAGCAGUGAAAUGCGUAGAGAUGUGGAGGAACACCGAUGGCGAAGGCAGCCCCCUGGGUCAAGAUUGACGCUCAUGCACGAAAGCGUGGGGAGCAAGAGGAUUAGAAACCCGUGGUA
rnacentral:rRNA from 1 species